CCUGUAGAGAGAGCAGCAGCAGCAGCAGCAGCAGCAUGCAUGCAUUGUCCCAGGAUCUAUUACAGUAUAUGGGUGCCCCCUAGCGUAUGAAUUUUUUUUGCUUCAAAUAAGAUUCAAUUUAGAGGAGCCGUCGGACACGGAAACCGAUUCAGUCUGCUCUCUCGCAUCGACCAAACUAACGAGCACCAUUUUAAACUGAUGACUGUUUGUUUAAAUUCUGUUUUACAUGACUUGGACGGCAAACCUUUGAGAGUUGCCAAAGUUGGAUUUACUUUUUGCCACUUCAGGCAGUCCCAGCGGUGAUCCCGUGAACAUGGAAAGUCUGUAAAUAAAAUACUCCGCAAGGUACUGGCUUAUCGAGGACCCAGUUUUGCUUCAAAUGGUAAGUAUGCGAUUUGUAUGCUUUGUUAUGAUAAAUCAGCAAUGUUGCAAUGCUUUAUCCUUCUGCUCACAAUUAAAUCUCAUAUUAAAUAAGCUCAUCUCUUGAAAUAAAAGACGUGUGCUGCAGACGGAGCAUAACGUAGACUACAUAUAUACGAUGCUUCUACAAUGCGCAUUGACUACGGACGACUCCGUCAGUCAUCUCUGCCUAUUAUCGCAGCGUUAAUUUAUAUGACGAAUCGCAUCAAGCCCAACUAGUUUGCAAACACCCAUUCAUAAAGUUACCCGAUAGUGAUAGUGAGGCAGGAGGCUGUAUUCUUAUAGUAACAAACCUACCAAAUGCAUAUGUUGCUGAUUCGUCCGUAGCGGGAUGCAUCUUCUCUCUUAUUCAGAAUAUAUUUAGUCUUCUCUUUUUCGACACAGUGCUCAGACUGAAGCUGGCAAAGCUUCCUCUCCAACAGACGGGAUCAGACACAAAAAGCACGCUGUUUAUUGGAAAAUUGCAAUGUCUGAUCAUGCAAAAACUUUGGAGAGCCAAAACAAACAACUGAUUCACGUCAUGUGUUGUUAGGCGAGAGACUGGAAAUAUAAGUUGACGUGUCGUCCGAGCAGAAUAUCAUUUGAUUGCCUCUGGAAAUGAUAAGUAAGCUUUACAGCAGGCAGAGAGAGAGAGAGAUCCUGUGCGCCUUUUUCUCUCCUACAGUAAUAUGGCCAAAACGCGCUCGUACGCCGCUGCUUUGUGUGGGCUAUUGAGGAGAGAGGGAGGGGGUGAAGUCAGAACAGACACCUGUCUUUAAGUAUGGCGAGCAAGCUUUAUGAGAUUUUGCAUAUUAGGAAAUAUAUGGAGAGAGCAAGCCAACACGCAAUAUGAGCCAAGCUCUUAUUAAAUACGUAAAAAUUAAUUUACCAUAAAUAAUUUAAUAAAUGCUCUAACUUUAUCCUACAAAAUGUUAAUACAUGAAUUAUUAUUGUUAUUGUUAUUGUUAUUAUUAUUAUUAAGAAAUAUGGUUUGCGUCAGUAAUGACAUAAGAGGAUAAUUAACCUUUUAGCAGAUACUCCUGUAGCAUGUAUGCAUUAGGCAGAUAGUAGGAAGGCCUAUAUAUAAAUUAUGACUGCCCAAUGAACCACGCGUAAAUAUGCAUAGAAAUUUGCGCACUAUUUUCUUAAAGCAUAAACGUUCCCACAGCAGCACAACUGCUUAACUAUUAGACCCCCCACUUCAAAACUCUUGUCCUGCAGUUUUUCUUAAUUCGCGGAUUUAAAAGUUUCCUGUGUGAUUUGUACUGGUUCUCCUUUUCAAGCAGAGGAUAAAAGCAGUAUAUGCUCAGCAAGCCGGCUUGCACAUAACAAUUGCGCUGCCCAACGGGAUCAGUAUCGAUUAAGAGGAGACAGAGGAUGUCGCCUGCACUAAAUAUUUACUGAUCACAGACAAAUAGCUGGAUCUUUAACGAUUUCCCAUGCUCUGGCAGGGAGAAAGGACUAAAUCACUUUAUUAUUGUUAGUAAAACAAAGCACAGUCUCUGGAACACGGGACUGGAGAUGUGCCGAUUGGAAUGAUUGCAGUUAAAUUAAUCGAUAGCGAGAUAGACAAUUCUUGAGAUUUACGGGCGUGCGAAGGAAAAGCUUUCCCUCCAGUAUCAGGUUAAACUGGGAAGUGCGCUCCGACGUGAUUAUAUUCAGCAAAACGCUAUAGACAUAUACUAAAAACCCAAUUCAGUUAAAAAAAUAAUGUAAUUCCUACAAAUAUGCUUUUAAAACGCACCAAGAUCUAAAAAAGAAAAUUGAACUGCUGACGGCCAAAGAGCUCUCUCACACUUGUGCUAAAAGUCAAAAAUGAAAAAAAAAAGAGUUGACUUUAAUCUUCCUCCACCAAGUCCUUCAUGCAGAUAGAGGGAUACUGACCCGGAGGUCUCCAAGUUCCCGGCCUGAUUAACCCUUCCAGACCCGAGCAGGAGCAAAGGUUAACCAGGCUAAUCAACUUCAAGAGUCUGAUUGAAUUAGAUGACUGUGUGGAAUCAAGACAGAAACUAAACUGUGCCACUUAAAAACACCCCGAAGAGAGAUAUUGGUCAUGUUUUUGCCCACUGACGCAAUUUAAAUCAAAAUAUCAUAAAUGAAGAAAGAAUUUCAGAUAACUUAUAAGCUGAUUAUUUUCUAGUUAAAAAGGCAGCAGGUCAAAAAAGAUUACAAGCAAAGCACACACAUUAGUAUAAAAAACAAAACAAAGAGCAGAAUAAAUAAAUAAAUAAAUAAAUAAAAAAAAAAAAUCAAAAGACUUAACACCCCUAAAUUGUUUCUCCUUCAUUUGAUUAUGGUGGAUGUGUCCCAUAUUUCAUGGGACUUUCAUCUGUUGCAUUGAAUAUCAAUCAGCACCUUUUACCUCUGGUAAAGGUUGACUCUUUGUAAUGGUACGUCUUUGUGAUAUUAUGGGUAGGGAAAAAAGAAACAAACCAAAUAUUAAUUUUUUAAAUUUUAUUUAAUUUUUUUUUUUACCCACAUUAUUACAGGACCAAAGAACAAAAAGGAAGCAUAAGAAAAGUAGCAUGAUGUAGGGAUAUUUUAAUGUUUACAUUUUUAUGAUAAAUAAACAAACUUAACUUAAUUACAUGAUUAAUAUAGAAUUCUUUUUUUUUUUUCCUAUGGCUUUUAUCCUGACCAGUCGUACACUGUAGUUUAUUUUGAUAUGAAUAUUUUAAUGGUUAUAUUGCUCUAAACAGGGAUUUUGUAAGGUUUAAAGACUACUGUGCUUGUUUUUCUGAUGUAAAUGUAAUUUUAAUUUAGUCACAAAAAACUGCAUUCUACUACCUCCAGUAACAGCCCUUUAUUAUAAAUGUGGUAUGUGUGCAAGCAAGUUGACGGCAUACGCGUGCAGGCAGUAUAAAAGCAUUUAGUUAUGUGGAGUGUGAGGAAAAAGGUGUGUUUUAAAGUGUGUUCGUAUAAGCAGACAUGCAUGUUUCAAUUGAAAACCUUACAUAGAGUUCAUUCAGCGGCGUGGAUCACUUUCUCUCUGUCUGCUUGCCCCAAGGGCCACUAUCUAAAAAGGCAAUAGAUCCCAGAUAGCUCACUGUGUUCAAUUUGCCAAUGACAGAUUAUAGUGCCAGUUUAAACAGAUAGGGAUCAAUUUGUCUCAAUGAAUUCUUUAGGCUGACUGCCAGCAUGCUCUUAAUGUAUUUGUAAAUGCUUUUGGUUUGAAUCAUUGCUGUUAGGUUUAAAGUGAUCAAAACUGUAGCGAGAGAAAGAUGAGUGUUGUAAGCGAUGUGUUGUUUUGGCUGCUAAAGACUGCAUAGAUGGAGCAUGCAUGAUGAUUACUUCAGGCAGCAGCAUUGUAGCAGCAAUGACCAGAGGGUCAAUGGUUUAACUCCAAGGACUCGCUGGGAAAGUCUGGGUAGGGGAAUUGUGUGAUAAGUGCUCUCUAACCUCCAGAAACUGCUGCUGAAGUGCCCAUCGGCCAAGCAGAUUAAAUCCCAUCUGUCCCAGUGGAGCUGUACGGUGACCAUCAGUACAACAGUGCAGUUGUACCAGGCACUUGUGAUAUGUGUCUCUUUGAGCCCCUCACUUUUCUUUUUUGAAAGAGAAGAGAGGGCAGUCCGCUUGCUUCACACUUUUUUUUUUCAUGCACUCAGAGAGAAAAAGUUUGGGAGAAGACAGAAGAGAGAAAGCCGUAGCAGCAUUCAGUCUCGAGCCAGACGUGGCUCACAUGUGGCCCCAAAGGCAGCAGACAGUGUAUUGAAUUACUGUAACUCAAGGUGUAAUGUGGUAGCAGUGGGGGAUAUGUAAAAACUACACAAACGGAUGUAGUGGAGGCUUACUUCAGCUUCAGCUUACCGUUACAGCUAUUCAGUGUUAAAGUGUGUUGUUUCUGUUCUUGAAGGUCAUUUACAGUCAUUUAUAGCUAUAACAGCAGCUUACAUUCUCAAAUGAUAUUUGAUUAACCACUUAUUUCAAACUGCUUCUGUUUUAAAAGCCUUGUAUCUCCAGUUUAGUGAUUUUCGUAUAUGUUCCUUCCUUACUUAAUAACUUUAAUGUUUGUAGCAUGAGCUCUCGCAUUUGUGAGAUCUAUACACAGUUUUUAUGUGAUGGUCUACCACGUAAAGUUAUGAGAUAACCAGUUAAGCAUUAAUGUUUUAUAUGUUAGUCAAGAAGCUAAUUAAAUAGUAUUCUGUAUAAUAACAAUUUGCCACAUUUGCCACUAAUAAAGUUUUAAGAUAUGA